CAACACAUUGAGCUGCUGAAGCGCGGUAAUUAUCAGUUCUUGUUACAGAUGGCGCAAGCAUGACAAUUUAUCGACCUAGUGCUUGAGUGAUAUUUUAACAGUGCGUGGUGCGAUGAAAUAUAUCGGUUAGUGUAUUCGAUAUGACAAUUUCGAGGUCGUCAACUUUGAUAAGAGUAAAUUUAGUCCUACGUAAUUCUUAUAAACUACGUAAUACGUCCGCACUGACGCGUUUGUGUGGCUUUGUUCGGACUGGUUACUCCACGAUAGUCGGUAUAUGUGCCAAAUUAUUUCCUAACCUCAUCUACAAAUUGUUGAGCCGGCCAAUUGUUUGCCUUCGCAUCGACGAACUUUUCCACAAUCACGCGUGCGGAUCUCAAGGGCGGGCCGGACAACUCGCGAUUAACACGUACGUUCAUUUGGAGACCAUUCAAGUCAAGUGUAUGCGUACGUCAUCAUCGUCAUUGUCGUCGUCGUCGUCAUUGUUUACGGACGUCAGCAUGGUGGAGAUGAUGAUCGCACCAACGCAGACCGUCGAUAAGCAAACGCAGUUUGGCAACGCGCGCCGUCUCGACUCGUCGGACUGCAUUUUCGUCUUUAGGGACAUCCUGUCGGAUUACGAGGAGCCGCCGUCGGACGAAGAGGUCGAGUUGAAGCCACUGCGAGAGGCGACGGUCGCGGUGCCCGCGCCGAAAAUCACCGAAAAGCGGAAGGCCGAGGACGCCGAUGCUAGCAAAGAUCUGAAAAAGGCAAAAUUGGAAACGAAAGCGCUGAAAGCGAAGAGGCCGGGAUUCACGGACGAGCGGUACAACGAGACCAGCUAUUACGUGGAGCACGGUCUCCGCAAGGUGUAUCCAUAUUACUUCACCUUCACGACAUUCACGAAAGGUCGAUGGGUCGGCGAGAAGAUACUGGAGGUCUUCGCGAGGGAAUUCCGCGCUCAUCCGGCCGAAGAAUACGAGAGAUGUAUUCGCGCCGGCACCCUGACGGUCAACUACCAGAAGGUGGACGUCGACUACAGGUUACGGCACAACGAUCUCCUGGCUAACGUCGUCCACAGACACGAGGUGCCUGUCACCUCGGAGCCGAUCACGGUGAUACACAUGGACGAGGACGUCGUCGUGGUCAACAAGCCCGCCUCCAUCCCUGUGCACCCGUGCGGCCGUUACCGUCACAACACCGUGGUCUUCAUCCUGGCGAAAGAGUACAACUUGAAGAACCUCAGGACCAUUCACAGGCUGGAUCGACUCACCAGUGGCAUCCUCCUGUUCGGCAGGACGCCGAAGAAGGCGAGGCAGAUGGAGCAUCAAAUAAGAAAUCGACAGGUUCACAAGCAGUACGUGUGUCGGGUGGAGGGUGAGUUCCCCGAGGAGGAGGUGAUCUGCUCGGAACCGAUUGAGGUCGUCUCCUACAAGAUCGGUGUGUGCAAGGUCUCUGACAAGGGCAAGGAUUGCGUCACCCGUUUCAAGCGUCUCAGUUACAACGGCAAGUCGUCCGUGGUGCUUUGCAAGCCGCAAACCGGACGUAUGCAUCAGAUCCGUGUCCAUCUGCAGUACCUCGGCUACCCGGUGGUCAACGAUCCGCUCUACAAUCACGUGGUUUUUGGCCCACAUAAGGGUAAGGGCGGUAACAUCGGCAAGACCGACGAGGAGCUCGUGAAGGAUCUCAUCAGUAUUCACAAUGCCGAGAAUUGGCUCGGCAUGGACGGUGAUUCCGAGAUGAGCCUGUUUAAGCCGAAGCUCGAGAUGGAAGAGCGAAUGUUGGGCUCCGCCAACGACAAGGACGGAUCUUCGCCAUCGUCCACUCCGGGCCUGGUCGAGGACGAGCAACAACAGCAGCAGCAGCAGCAGCAGCAACAGCAGCAGCAGCAACAGCCGCAGCAGCAACAGCCGCAGCAGCAGCAGCAGCAACAGCAGCAGCAGCAGCAGCAGCAGCAGCAGCAACAGCCGCAACAACAGCAGCAGGAGCUGAAAUCCCUAAAAGUCACCGUGGGAACUCAGACAGGUUCGGAGCCACCAGAUUCGAGCUUCGCUAACGACAAGGUCACCGUAGACCCGCACUGCUACGAGUGCAAAGUAAAGUACAGGGACCCGAAACCGUCGGACCUGGUGAUGUAUCUGCACGCGUGGCGUUACUGCGGGCCGGGAUGGGAGUAUGAGACGCCGCUGCCAGCGUGGGCGGCCAGCGACUGGUCUGGCGACGAUCGAUAGUUUCGACGUGAUCGAGGGUGAUCCGCGCGGAUUCCUCGGCGAGUCGUCGUCGUCGUCGUCGUCGUCGUCGUCGUCGUCCGUCGUCGUCGUCCGGCCGCCGCCGCCGAGUCUCGAACCCCCUUUUGAUAUCCUUACCCCGUGCCUUCCAUCCGCCAACGAGCGAUCUUGACCAUCGUACACGCGAAUACACACACACAGGUACACAGAUAAGACAUUCACACAGACGUGUACAUGACAUGAAAUACACACGCAUACAUCUGCAGACACGAAUAUACAGUUACAUUCUCCUAUAACUAGGCCGUCGGAUUCCUCGGGGCUGCGAUCCGAGAGAAAUGGGAUUGCGGGAACAAUCUCGUCGCUCGAUUUGCAUUUCUGCAGCUCGCCGACGAUGUAUGGUGUUAUAAGUGACGCCGGGCGUCGUUAUUGCACGACGUUCGCAGAGCGAACGGCGAAACGAUUCGCCGACGUGGCCGCUCGUUCGUCGGUCGCGCGCGUGCGCGUGUACCACGCAUACAUCCCAUACACACACAUGCACACACACAUGCUCGUACACGCAGAGGGUAGAAAGACGCAUGUUAGUUUUCGCGGCGAGUUCGCCGGUUUCGCUCUCGUUUCAUCAUACAUUCUGGCAGGGAUCCCCGCUGUUCGGGUCCCGCGCGAGAGAUCCACCGCGACGACAUUUACUGCGCAAAUUAAUCACAGCGACAAAAGACAACAUUGUUACCGAUUCUUACGUUUAGUCCUCGUACUGUCCUGAUUUUGGGAGCCAAAUAAUAAAUCAGAUUGUCAUUAUUGUUAUUUUUGUCUCGCUGCUCACGCAGCGCAUUCCAGAUUUCUCAAUCGUGCUUUUCCCUGCCCGAAUAAACCGCUGAGACGACAUUUUGCGAACGCGCGCGCGCGCGCGCGCGCUUCGACCCGCUCAGACUGCGGCGUGAAAUUCUGCUGACGUGAGAGUCCUCGCGACUACUUGUUCCUACAAUCCCUUCUCUCCGGCAGCUCCGGCAAGGUCAUUGCACACGACUAAUCGGUCGACGUGGAAUUGUUACAAGUCGCAGGACUUCGUUGUAGCUUCCGCGUGCAGGUAUCUUUGUUUGUUUCGCGCGUUACGACCUUGACAACUCGGUUGCCACGGGAGAGAGGUGUGUGUGUGUGUGUGUGUGUGUGUGUGUGUGUGGUAACAGGCAUAGCGAAUCUGUGAUUACAGAUACUCGACCCGGUGCCCAGAGUGGAAAACCCGGUAUUUUAUCUUUGUGACAAUUCACAAUUCUCACAUAUGACUAUAGUAUUUGAUUUUCUAGUAUUUUUUUCAUUCUACUACAACAUCGCAGAUUUUGCUUAUAUAAUAUUGCAUUAAACAUCGCAGACUGUGAAAACUCUGUCGUAACCUCUGCGAAACACUUUCACUGAUUAUUCAGCCUAUGCUAGGUGGGGAGAACCGUGUAGCUUAGCAUUUCUUGAGUCAGAGCAGAUGGGUCGUUUACCGUUCGAGAAUCUUCUUCUGGAGAAAAGCGGGUCUACGUUGAGAGACGUUGAGUUGUCGGGAGGGCACAGUGAACUCUGCCUGCGUGCCGUGGACGGAUCUUCUACAAGGGUCGCCGACUCCGAUUGGUAACGCAGUCGGGUAACCAGUUUUGCGAGAAAAUUUCUAAAUUCUAAUCGGAAUCUCUGCGUGCCGCGCGCGCGCGCGCAUGUCCGGACAAAUUCUGAGAAAUUUCUAUGCGAGGCGUCCGCUCGGCUCGCUCCGCGAGCGCGACUCGAACAAUUCGCAUGUAAAAGUCGUUUACGCCAGGCGUUUCGCGAGGCGGGAACGAGACGAAUGCAUGCAUUCUGAAAAACGCGAUGGCCCGGGCCGCUUUUAUGAGCAGUCAGUCAAAAAGUCAUUGUCGCUGGAGCGAGAGAGCUCUAGCGCCCUUCCCCACCACCCAAGCCGUGUAACACCGUGCGAAGAUUGAUGCAUCUGUCGGAGAUGACAUGGUGCUCCGAUGCAUCGUACUGUUCAUCUUGAUUUAUGACGUACAGGAGCACGGAGAAGUCGCGAUCUUUUCUAUUUCUACGGGUAGCAGCGCGAGUCGCGCAAACACAUACGCACACGCACACGCAUACACACACACACACACACACACACACGCACGCCCUAACGCAAGCAAGCGUCACCAUUUUACUCGCGCGCGCGCGCGCGCGAUCUCGCGGAACAUUUUGAUUCACGGCGAAUACGCUCGCAAAGAUCCAUUUUUUCCUUCUCCAAAUUCCAGCGGCCGUCGCGCGAACGAAAACGCUUUUAUCUAAGAAUAAACGACGCGAGCGGGAAUAAACGGUGUUGCGUGUACUUUGACAUUUCGCUUAACGCGUCCGGCCGUCGCGAACUUGAGGAAUGUUGCUGCCGCUGCUGCGCGGUAGAUUUACGUCAGCCCCGAAUUCGGAAAUCGACUUUGGCGGCGGAGCGAAUCGGCGAUAUCGAUUAUAUCCGGCGGCGGUGUUGCUUUUGGCAUGAAAUCGCCUCGGGCACUUGGGCCUGACAAAAAGAGAGAGUCAGCUAACUAGGAGAUAAAUUUAUCUCGCAGCCGCGGCGGUGGCAGCCUGACGAUUCGCGGCAAGCGCUCGCCCCGGAAAGCGACUUCAACGAAGCCCUACGACUUUGUACUAUCGUGUGUAAUAGUGUGUUAUCGUUAAUAUAUCGUUGUGAAAGAUUCCGUGAAUGUCGUGAGUCGUGAGCAGGAAGAAAGAGAGAGAGAGAGAGAGAGAGAGAGAGAGAGAGAGAGAGAGUCGCGUCGGUAUUAAUCUUUUCGCUACGGUUGUCACGAGCUACGCGUGUGACGAAAAAAUCCUUAUUAUGCCCACUGGCCUAUUUCAUCGCGAUGAUCGGAAAAUGACAGCAUCUCUUCAUUCUUCCAUCGUCUGUCCAUCGCUUGAACGUUAUUUUCAAACAGGCGGAAAAACUGCUUCGUAGCGACGGGAAACUCUCUUUUGGCUCUCACAAGUGCAUAAUGUAAGCUGCGUUCCGAUAUUCAUUGCCAGUAUUGAAAAUCUACACACACACACACACACAGUUCACGUCACUUGUGCUAUAGAUAUUUUCAGUACUGGCAGUGAAUAUCGUAGCACAGUUGCCGAAGAAGGCGCCCCGUUGCAGUGGCGCAUCGCCCUCUAAAGAAGAAAGCCUUGGCGGGAGACCGCGCUGUAGCGGCGCGUAGUAGCGAAAAGAUUAAUCGUCCACAAUGUUGUUAGAGCAAUUCUCGAGUGCGUGAAUAAUAUCUCGCGCUUCUCUCUCUCUCUCUCUCUUUCUCUCUCGGUUGCUCACCGUCGUCAGUUUCCUAUCGCGCGCUCUGCGCUCGCCCGAUUUCGAAGGAUAUCAUCGCCGCAGCCAAGCGCUCGUCAUCCUCUCGAGAUCGGCGCGCGACGCAAUCAGCAUUGUUCUCCGUGGCCCUGAUCGCCGUUCUCCUCAUUGAGAACGAGACUCGGUCUCAUUCACACGUGCGCAUGCGUUUUCUCGCACGGUCUCGAGAAUAGACUCCUUGAAACCGGCGCGAUCGCCAGGAAGAAGAGAGGCCGGUGGAGGUGGAGGUGGAGGUGGAGGUCGCAUCCUCCGCGGCACAGGUAGGGGGCUGACGUAGGGAAACCGCGCGUGCGUCUAUUUUUAUGGCAGAUGUAUACGCGCAGGAGAACCAAUGCGGUGGCGCGGGUCCAGCGGCAGGAGUCUCCAACAAUAAGCGUGAUCUUGCCGGACGACAGCCAAUGAUCAUGCCAAAGAGCGAGCGACCAGCGAGCUUUCAAUCAUAUCGUGCACAUGUACCUUUCCCCGCGCCGUGCGACCUCCAAGAGCGCGCACGGUCCAGCCCGCACGACGACAACUCGUUUUGCAGGGCUCCAACUAUCCGGAUAUCCGAGCUCUCACCCGACACGUCGAAAUCCAAUUAUAUUCGUAGUCGGAAUUAUUCGGAUCAUCACGACCCACCAGGACCCUGAACUGAAUCGAGAACUGAACUCAGAUCCAAGGUCGAAUUACGUAGAGGAACAGAUACGGCCAAAAGAUACGGAUCAAUUUUAAGAGCACAAAAUUAGCCAAAAUAAUAAUUCGAAUGAUACAUAAUAAUAAACAUAAUUAAUCACACUUGCAUCCGGAUCCGGACUUUGUCUCUGGAUAAUCCGAAUUUGAAGCGUCACAUUGAUCUGUUGUCCGAGUGAUCGCGGGGGUACCCUGAUAGCGUCAGAUCCGAAGCGACUGUUGAAGCUCUAGUGUCUCGUUGAGCGAGUACAAUCGCGAGCGAGUGAAAUGCGAGGAGAAUGAACGCGCUAUAUUAUUUUAUUAUGAAGUGUGGGUAGUGUGCGAGUCGUCGUCUCGUCCCCGCUCUCGCUGAUCGCGCGCUCCCGGCGAUUCAUCGCGAUUCGCCGGGGACUCGCUCGCGCGCUCGUUAUUCACGAGUUCCUCUCUCGGCCAUUUAGCGACACCGACGGCACAAAAGCGACCAUCAUCGCACGCUUGUCCCGCGUGACGUCGAAGAAGCUGCUGCUGCUGCUACUACCCACCCACACCACACACAGCGAUCACGGCGCGGUCUGUUUUGCGUCACGCGCGAUAACACGGCGCGGUACAGCGUGCGAGAGUAGCGGCGGCUAACAAAACACGCUCCGCGUGAGCGCGAGCGGUCUUUAGCUUGUAUUUAGCGUCGGGUCGUUAAGCCGUGAGCAGUGAUGGGAAGUGAUCCAGAUGCGAUUGGCGAGUUACAGAUUCGAAAGGCGAAAUCGUAUCGUAAAGGCGAUGCAAUAUAUACGAUACGAUGCAAUCUAAUAUCCCUCCCCAACACCGUCGUCGUCCCGGGUGGAAGCGACGACGUGCACCUUCCGACUUGCCUGACGUACCUCCAACGGUGAAAACCACUCUACUUCGCUUUUCUGACGGGGCCAACUCACGCGCGACGUGUCUGGAUGUUCUGGAUGGAGGGGUGAUUUUUGCUACGACCAGUGCUAUCAAUCUGCGAUCACAUCGCAAUACGCAAGCACGCCUGUGUCGUGCGUGCGUGCAUCUCUCAACGAGAGUAUAGCGAUCUAGAGCACGAGCACCUGCGAGCACUCGGGACAAACCAAUCUUGCCAUCACUGCCCGCGAGAGUCGUGAAUACGAGAAAGCAAAGAUGUAAAGGAAAAAGUAAUAGCAGCGACGUGCGACGCGAAGGAAUAUGGGUUUGGUAGAUAUAUAUGUGUAUGUAUACAUAUAGGGAGAAAAAAAAAGAAGGAACAAAAGAGAUAAAGGGGAGAUAAAACGUAACAAAACGGACCUAUCAUAAAAGACAGUGUGUGCGCUUACUAACUCAACCGGGACAGCUCGUCCACCGUCGCCGAGCUGUCUCGAACGUAAUGGCUAG